GACGAACGCUGGCGGCGUGCUUAAAACAUGCAAGUCGAACGGAAAGGCCCUGCUUUUGUGGGGUGCUCGAGUGGCGAACGGGUGAGUAACACGUGAGUAACCUGCCCUUGACUUUGGGAUAACUUCAGGAAACUGGGGCUAAUACCGGAUAGGAGCUCCUGCUGCAUGGUGGGGGUUGGAAAGUUUCGGCGGUUGGGGAUGGACUCGCGGCUUAUCAGCUUGUUGGUGGGGUAGUGGCUUACCAAGGCUUUGACGGGUAGCCGGCCUGAGAGGGUGACCGGCCACAUUGGGACUGAGAUACGGCCCAGACUCCUACGGGAGGCAGCAGUGGGGAAUAUUGCACAAUGGGCGAAAGCCUGAUGCAGCAACGCCGCGUGCGGGAUGACGGCCUUCGGGUUGUAAACCGCUUUCGCCUGUGACGAAGCGUGAGUGACGGUAAUGGGUAAAGAAGCACCGGCUAACUACGUG
rnacentral:rRNA from 1 species